AUUUGCGGAGGAAGCUUUAGGCGCGGCACCAUCUGAGUCCCCUGGAACGGGGCGCCAUAAAGGGUGAGAGCCCCGUAAAGAUGGACGCUAAGCCUGUGUAAAGCUCCUUCGACGAGUCAAGUAGUUUGGGAAUGCUGCUCAAAAUGGGAGGUAAAUUUCUUCUAAAGCUAAAUACCGGCCAGAGACCGAUAGCGCACAAGUAGAGUGAUCGAAAGAUGAAAAGCACUUUGAAAAGAGGGUUAAAUAGCACGUGAAAUUGUUGAAAGGGAAGCGCUUGUGACCAGACUUGCGCCGGGCUGAUCAUCCGGUGUUCUCACCGGNGCACUCUGCCCGGGUCAGGCCA
rnacentral:rRNA from 1 species